rnacentral:rRNA from 1 species
ACGGGGGGUGCGAGCGUUGUCCGGAAUCACUGGGCGUAAAGGGCGCGUAGGUGGUUUGAUAAGGGUGUGGUGAAAGCCCGGAGCUCAACUCCGGGUCUGCCGUGCCGACUGUCAAACUCGAGGGCUGUAGAGGCAGACGGAAUUCCGGGUGUAGCGGUGGAAUGCGUAGAUAUCGGAAGGAACGCCGGUGGCGAAAGCGGCGUGCUGGACCUCUUCUGACGCUGAGGCGCGAAAGCUAGGGGAGCGAACGGGA